UACGUAGGCGGCUUUGUAAGUUAGAGGUGAAAGCCCGGAGCUCAACUCCGGAAUUGCCUUUAAGACUGCAUCGCUUGAAUCAUGGAGAGGUGAGUGGAAUUCCGAGUGUAGAGGUGAAAUUCGUAGAUAUUCGGAAGAACACCAGUGGCGAAGGCGACUCACUGGACAUGUAUUGACGCUGAGGUACGAAAGCGUGGGGAGCAAACA
rnacentral:rRNA from 1 species